AUAAAAUGCAAGAGGUGUCUGGCAAAUAAGCUUAAAGAAUAAUCCUUUUUAUGAGCACUGGAGCUAAGGCGCGCUCCUGCGCUCUAGGGGCUCCAAAGAGUGGCUGUCGUGACGUCACUUUUGCGGGAAAAACACGCGUGUAUUCCUGGUCAACAGCAGAGGGCGAAAGAGAGCCGCAUUGAAGGAGUAAAAUCACUCCAACAGCAAGAUUCCAGAAGGUUCCAAACAACCUCUGUAUAACGUCAGCAUCUACAGGCCUUUCUUGCAUUGGCUAAGGUUGUCCAGGAGUCCACCAACAGGGACUGCACAAGAAUGGUGCGCAUGGCAGGACAACAAGAUGGAAGCCAAGAACAUUGCUACCAGUUUGCCAAAGACUGUGUGAAUGAGCCAGAAGACUAUGAAAAGAAUGUUUUGUCAACAAAUGAAUGCCAGAAAU